AGGGACAAUCCCAUUUUUGCUGAAACAUAGGUUAUUUUCUGUAAAUGUCUCUUCUUUAAUUAUAGGCAAAAUAGCUCAGUGGACCAUUAUACUUAGUCUGGUUUGUAAAGUGGAUACUCCUACUUAUACAUUUGUCACCUGGAUCCUUCAACUCAAUAAAACGUAAUAUUUUGAACCCUAAUACGGUGAGUGUAACACACUCGUCUCCACGUCAGCUUCCAUGUCAUUUUCAUAUAGAAAAAUAUUAAAUAUUAAAAUAAAUA
rnacentral:lncRNA from 1 species